AAAUUGAAGAGUUUGAUCAUGGCUCAGAUUGAACGCUGGCGGCAGGCCUAACACAUGCAAGUCGAACGGUAACAGGAAGCAGCUUGCUGCUUCGCUGACGAGUGGCGGACGGGUGAGUAAUGUCUGGGAAACUGCCUGAUGGAGGGGGAUAACUACUGGAAACGGUGGCUAAUACCGCAUAACGUCGCAAGACCAAAGAGGGGGACCUUCGGGCCUCUUGCCAUCAGAUGUGCCCAGAUGGGAUUAGCUAGUUGGUGAGGUAACGGCUCACCAAGGCGACGAUCCCUAGCUGGUCUGAGAGGAUGACCAGCCACACUGGAACUGAGACACGGUCCAGACUCCUACGGGAGGCAGCAGUGGGGAAUAUUGCACAAUGGGCGCAAGCCUGAUGCAGCCAUGCCGCGUGUAUGAAGAAGGCCUUCGGGUUGUAAAGUACUUUCAGCGGGGAGGAAGGUGUUGUGGUUAAUAACCGCAGCAAUUGACGUUACCCGCAGAAGAAGCACCGGCUAACUCCGUGCCAGCAGCCGCGGUAAUACGGAGGGUGCAAGCGUUAAUCGGAAUUACUGGGCGUAAAGCGCACGCAGGCGGUCUGUCAAGUCGGAUGUGAAAUCCCCGGGCUCAACCUGGGAACUGCAUUCGAAACUGGCAGGCUUGAGUCUUGUAGAGGGGGGUAGAAUUCCAGGUGUAGCGGUGAAAUGCGUAGAGAUCUGGAGGAAUACCGGUGGCGAAGGCGGCCCCCUGGACAAAGACUGACGCUCAGGUGCGAAAGCGUGGGGAGCAAACAGGAUUAGAUACCCUGGUAGUCCACGCCGUAAACGAUGUCUACUUGGAGGUUGUGCCCUUGAGGCGUGGCUUCCGGAGCUAACGCGUUAAGUAGACCGCCUGGGGAGUACGGCCGCAAGGUUAAAACUCAAAUGAAUUGACGGGGGCCCGCACAAGCGGUGGAGCAUGUGGUUUAAUUCGAUGCAACGCGAAGAACCUUACCUGGUCUUGACAUCCACGGAAGUUUUCAGAGAUGAGAAUGUGCCUUCGGGAACCGUGAGACAGGUGCUGCAUGGCUGUCGUCAGCUCGUGUUGUGAAAUGUUGGG
rnacentral:rRNA from 1 species